rnacentral:lncRNA from 1 species
UUAGAAUGCGGGUUUCGAUUAGCAUACGGGUCAAGAUCUUGGUACGGGUCAACCCGGGUGUAUUGGAGAUUUUAUGUGUGUGUGUGUGUGUUUUUUUUUUUUUUUUUUGUCUAAGUAUCAAUCAAUUGAAUUUAUAUUUAGUUUAAAAAAACUAUAUAUUUUGCAAAAAAUCGUUCCAUUAAUUUUUUCUCAUCAAGGAAUCAACAAAUUAAUUGCCUACAACUCUACGUGAUUUAUUAGAGAUGGAACUUUUUAGUCCACGGUUAGUACUUAAGUACAAAAUGAGACACCAAUUAUGAACUAAACUAUUAGUACUAUA